rfam:Danio rerio chromosome 4, GRCz11 reference primary assembly.
GGCUCUGUGGCGCAAUGGAUAGUGCAUUGGACUUCUAGGCUGUGAGCUGAGCCAUUCAAAGGUUGUGGGUUCGAGUCCCACCUGAUUUG